CUGAAAGUCUGUCCAUUCAAAUAUCCAAAAUCUACCCAUAGCAGUUCUGCUAGAUGGUCUUGCCGUUCCCAUUAAUACACAUCAAAUAUAAUUGUGUCCGUCAAUCUAUCAAAUGUACAACAACUGGAUUGCAGUUGAAUUCAAAACUUUCAUUUACUCUAUUGAAUAUUACUCUAUUAAAAUAGUACAUGAGAUAAAAUAUUCUGAAUUUGAAAGAAAGCCCCUGCUUCCAUCCCAAGAACAUUUGUUUUAUUCAAAUUUAUUUUUUUGCAUAUAGCUUGCACACUUUCGUGGUGGGAUAGAUGCUCAGCCAUCCGAAGCAUCCGACACGAAAAUUCAACUGCCAGGAAUGGAAGAAGAUAUAGACGAACCUCCAGCCAAGCGACUACGUGAAAGGAUAAAAGUGGAUGUUGAUAAGUGAUUGUGUAUAUAAUGAGAAGGAAGAUGACGUGUAAAGUACGAUCUCCGGAAUAGAUCCGUCUGUGUUUUGUUUUGCAGUCAGUCUCACUUUAUAUUGAACGUUAUCGACUAAUAUUUCCACCUUUACUGUUUGAACUGUGGUUCAGAAAAUUACAGACUCUGUGACAAUUUUUUAAUCCCAAAAUUAGAGUAAGACGGUGAUAAAAAUGUUUGGGAAAAUCAGGAUAAGCUCAUGUGUAAAUAUGAAAUGUAAAUUAAUCUUCAAUUUUUUCAGUUCCCUGAUGGAAGUAGAGGGUAAUUUAAUUUCUUCUUGUUGGAUGGUAUAUUUAUAGUGUUUUAUUGUUUCAAAAAUUUAAUUAAUUUCUUUCGGGGCAUAUUUACCUGAUAUCCUCACAAAUACAUCUCAAAAGAAUGAAAAUGGAAGCUUACAAUACUUUAGAAUCUUUGCCAAGCCAUUCAUCUUUUGGUUUAAAAUUUCCAUAUCAAAUCACCCCAUGAAAAUAGCAAAACAUUUGGUUUCACAUUUCUAAUUCAAAUGACACCAUGAACAUAUCAAAACUUUUAAUUUUUUGACAUUUCUGUACAAUGUACCUUCUAUUUGUUAUUUAUCUUACUCAUUAGGUUAGGUUAAGUUCGAAGUGAUUGAGUCUAUUAGACCCUCCAUUGCAACCCGAGCGGUUUUAUCGCGGCUCACUCCAAUUUAAACUCCGCCAAAUAAAUCCAACUGAUUAGUUUGUUUGGUGAAUAAUCUUUCAGGUUCGAUGGCGAGACAUUGCCAAACAUUGAAAACCUGAUUCGGGCCGCAGCGGGCCAGAUACAAAAUAUAUGCUACGCUGUUAUAUCUUCCAAACAAAUAUGGCAAGAUGGUAUGCUGGAUCGAUCUUCCGACAGUCUAAGUCUUUUCAUAUGCGACAAUGGUCUGUAAGUAGACCCGUUAGACAAUGUAGUCUAACAAGGAUUUGGUGACAUUCUUCUUACUAACUUCAAUAUUCUUUCAAUAAUUAUGGUCGCCAAUGUCAGGAGCAUCAGCAGAUGACUUUAUUUCAAGUUAAUAAAUAACAAGACAGACAUUUUUUUAUCUAUUUCAGAUCUGCAAUACAAUUGUAAAUAAAAAGUUUUGUAUGAUGUUACAAAUAUAAUGAAGGUUGAAUUUCAAAAUUUUCUGCUCAAAGGCUAACUUCAAAGGAUAUGUAUAUGACUUUAAUUUCAGAGGCUGAUUCCUUGUCAUUUUUUAUGAACAGAAAUUCUUAUAAGUAUAAGUCUUAACAUGCUUCGUAUAAAAUUUUUGUAGAUUUCAAUGAAACAUUGUAUUUUUAAUUGAUGUUACAUAAAGCAUAUUUUGAUUAGAUUUGAAAUAAUAAUUCCAGUGGCAUUGCAGCAGUGCCUGAUUGAUAGUCUAUAGGACUAUUGGUUUAAGUUUGAAGAAAUGUUCAUUUAUCCAUUUUUGUUUUAUGGUUCAUGGGCACACUUUCUAAAUCUAAUUACACCAAAAUCAACUAUUUGUAAUUUCAAUUAAUUAAAUCGAGUUUCAUCAAAAUGUUUGGGAAGGUUUUUGAGUGAUCAGUAAGUAAUCGAUAUUUGUAUUUCUCAGAAAACGAAACAAUUUAGCCAUAUGUUUAUGUCAGUGUUAUAAUGAAGGUUAUUUUUGCGGGCGGUGGUGCAGAGUUUGGUCUCCGUAGAAAUGGAGGUUAACUAAGGCGGAUGUGUAUACAUAAAAAAGGGUUUAUUAUUUACCUUUUAUUGAAAAAAUACAUAUUCUAAUCAAAAUGGAUAAGAGUUGAAUUAUAUUAUACAAAUGAUUGUUUUACAGCUAUGCGGAACGAAAUUGCACGUUCCUUUAAAAACAUGCUGAGGUACGUUUUACGUAGAAGUUUUGAGGCGAUUUUCUGUUAAAGCCUUGGUUUAUAUAAUCUCGUAAAAUAUGACAGAAAACCAACCCUUUAAAUUUACUUCAUCAUUAUUUAUGAUGCACCCUAUAUAUUGAUUAGGUUUCUUUUCAUCAGGCAGUAAUGCAAAAGUUCAAAGUGAAUUAGUAAGGAUUGAAACAUUUGGUUAAUUACAUGAAGACUUUUUUUCUAUUCUAUUUCAAAUAAUAGAUGUUCUAUUUGCUUUUUUAUGUUUUUUUUUUUUCAAUUAUUUAUAUCUGAGGUAGAAUGAAAGCAUUUUCCUAUAAUUUAAAGAUUGUAUUUUAUGUGCAAACAACACUGUCAGAUUAGCUCAAACACAAGUCACUGAACAUGAGGUCUGAGUCUCUUUGAAAUAAGUAGUUCUUUUGUUUUUUCCUCUGCUUUGAUUCAAUUUGAGAGUAAAGCUUGACAUUAAUUAUUUUAGGCUGUCUGACAAGGGAGAAAUUAUAUUCAAGAUUCAGUGAUUUUUUUAACCACUUUGCAUAUGUACAUUUAGUCUUUAGUAGAAAUAAUACUAUUGUAUUUUACAUUGAGCUUGUUUCAAUUGAGUCCCAUGUGAGAGUUUCUCAAAUUCCUAAAAACAAAUUAGAUUUAGAGUCCAUUCAAGAAGUUAUUUUUAUAUGCUGGGUGAUUUUUCAUAGAUUUGCAGCGCUUGACCGGUUCUGCUUUAUUUAUUGUUUCCAUCAUUAAGAUUGAAUGUGUUUUUUGUAUUAAGAAUGCUGGACGGUUUUUUAUUCCAAUGUAUAAUUUUCAAGAAAAUGAAAUGGAGCAUAAUUUUUUUUAUAUCAACGGCAAGUUGUUCCAAUUGAAAUAUAAUUUUGUGAAAACUAUUUAUAGAUACGUGCCUGUCUUUGCUAAAAAUUUAUUUCUACUUUAUUUUAAACAAAAAUUCUACAAUCAUCAUUGUGGAGACCUGUUUUAUCCAAUCAUUUUUGACCACCUAAUGUUAUGAGACAGUACGAUGGUUGUUUAGUUUUUCGUACACAUUUUCUACUAAGUAAAGAUAUUGUACAAAAGUAUAUUACUUUAAUAAACAAUUAUCAACUGAAA